UCAUCAUUUUAGUGCUAGCCCACAGUUUUCAUGGUUUUGAAUUCUACCAGUCUUGCAUGUAUUAAAUAUUUAAUCUAUGAAUAUCUUGUUUCUUGGUUAAAUGGUGUUCCAUUGCAUGUGUGCCAGCUAACAAAUAUAUGGGCCUAAUCCAUGAGAGUGUGCAGUGAAUACGUGUCUGUCCCAGGCUGUUUUCAAUUUUAUAUGUGUACCUUUAAUUUAUUUUUUAUUUUACCUACAGGAAAACUCACUCUUUGUCACAUGCAGUUAUAUGGUUAUUGACAAGUGUAUAGAAUAGUAUAUCUAACACGACAAUUAUGAUAUGGAGGAGUUCCAUUACCCCUAAAAAUCUUCUUUAUUUUAUUCCUUUGUAGUCAACCCUUCAUUCUACUCCAUAAUCUCUUGUGACCACUGUUUUUUAUAGUUUUGUGUUUAACAAAGUGUCAUUUAAAUGGAAUCAAACACUACAUAACCUCUGAGGUCCAGCUCCUUGUACCUACUAGCACUUUGAGUUCCCCAGUUCACUUGCAAGCAUUUAUCCUUUAAGACCUAUGCUAGCCAAUCCAUGAACUCUAGGAUUAUUAAUUGCAUUCUGUUUUGAAUAAAGAUUGGCCAUGCUUAUUCUAUUUUAGUCCUCUUAGGACUUGCUCUCCUGAUGUUCUUUUCCAUUUGGUUCUAUUUUAUAAUUUCCAUUAUCUUAUGAAAAUUUUGAUCUUUUUAAAUUUUUUUUUUUAAUUUUUAUUUAAUUAUUUUUAAAAAUUUAUUUAUUUAUUUAUUUGACAGAGACAGAGAGAGCAGGAACACAAGCAGGGGGAGUGGGAGAGGGAGAAGCAGGACUCCCGCCAAGCAGAGAGCCCGAUGUGGGGCUCAAUUCCAGGACCCUGGGAUCAUGACCUGAGCUGAAGGCAGACACUUAACGACUGAGCCACCCAGGCACCCCUCAUCUUUUUUUUUUUUUAAUUCAUACCAUUAUUCCAUCAGUUUUUAUAUGUUGUAAUAAGUUUUUGAAGUUCUUAUCUCUUACUUCCAGAAUAUAAGUCUUACAACAAACAACCUUGUCAUAUGCCCUUCAUUUUACCCAUCAAAAAGCAUUUUCAUAAAGUCUUUAUUUGGUAGAAUACAACGUUAGAAUUUCUCAUUCAAAAAGAAAAUCGCUGUGCCACCAAUUUACACAGCAUUUUAGAGAGGAUUAUUGACUAUUUGUAGAGUGAAUAAUUCAGAGAGGAAAUAAGUGGAGAAAUGAACUGGCAAAGAUAGCUAAGAACCAAGCAGCUAUGAUAUGUGUAGCAAGGACUAGAAGUGUGGGGAUUCCUCUAUGAUAAUCACUACAGAACAAAUGAUUUGCUUUAUUUUUAAAUUAAUUUCAUGUAUUUUUGGAUCUAACUUAUAUUAUCUGUGAUGUUUUGCUGCAGGACAAAGACUGAACAAGUAACAUACUUUAGGGAAGAGAGAUGAGCAGCUAUUCUGAUGCUUUUAAAAUUCUUUGUGUGUUGUCACGUUCUCUGGGUUCAUUAUUUCAGAAGCCCAAGACGGGAUGGAAUGAAGUCCUCCACUUCAGAGAAGAGCAAGAGCAAGAGAAAGAGCACAAGCAGGGGGAGCAGCAGAGGGAGAGAGAGAAGCAGGCUCCUCGCUGAGCAGGGAGCCUGACGCGGGGCUCGAUCCCAGGACCCUGAGAUCAUGACCUGAGCCGAAGGCAGAUGCCUAACUGACUGAACCACCCAUGCAGCCCCAUUAUGUGUCAUUUUCUUUGGUUCGGUGUCCACGACGGGCUCGCUGUUGGCCCAGAGAAGGGUUUCCUGUGCUUGGAUGCACGGAGGUUGGGCGGAUGGCCGGAAGAAGUCUUGUGCAGCCCAGGGUGAGCACCCUGCGGAUGCAACGCAAAGACAGUAAGCCUUCCAUCAUCUCAGGCGGAGACGUUGGCUGUAGGAUUUCCUUCGCCCACCUGAGAGCCUGCCAAUCCGCGUGUGCCUGAUGACGUGCGGGGUCUGGCUUCAAGAGAGGAUGGAGCGUUCCUCUUGCUCAGUGGCUUGGAUCUGGACGGUCGAGGCUGCUGGAGGGCACUGAGGCCAUCAGCUCAAACCUCUGAGCCAGGCCCAGCUGGCCUUCUUCGAUGUGCCAGGAGGCCCCGAAUGUGCUCGGAUCGAUGAUGACUCCCUCAUUGUGCAUUCCUUGGAAAAGCUGAACAAAAUGAGUGAGAACUCCCUACCGUCGUUCUCAUCGAAACUGAGGUCCAGCACGUUGUCUCCCCAGGGAAGGUUCGGUGUCCACGCUGGGCUCGCUGUUGGCCCAGAAAAGAAGGCUUUCCUGUCCUUGGAUGUGCGGAGGUUGGCCGGCUGGCCAUAAGAAGUGUUGUCCAGCCCAGGGUGGUCACCCUGCGGAUGCAUCGCUAAGACGGUUCGGUGUCCACGCCAGGCUCGCUGUUGGCCCAGAGAAGAAGGCUUUCCUGUCCUUGGAUGCAUGGAGCUUGGCCGGCUGGCCGGAAGAAGUGUUGUCCAGCCCAGGGUGGGCGCUCUGUGGAUGCAUCGCUAAGAUGGUUCGGUGUCCACGCUGGGCUCGCUGUUGGCCCAGAAAAGAAGGCUUUCCUGUCUUUGGAUGUGCGGAGGUUGGCCGGCUGGCCGGAAGAAGUGUUGUCCAGCCCAGGGUGGGCACCCUGCAAAUGCAUUGUUAAGACGGUUCGGUGUCCACACUGAGCUCGCUGUUGGCCCAGAGAAAAAGGCUUUCCUGUCAAUGGAUGCGCGGAGGUUGGCCGGCUGGCCGUAAGAAGUGUUGUCCAGCCGAGGGUGGGCACCCUGCUGAUGCAUCGCUAAGACGGUUCGGUGUCCAUGCCAGGCUCGCUGUUGGUCCAGAGAAGACGGCUUUCCUGUCCUUGGAUGCGCGGAGGUUGGCCGGCUGGCCGUAAGAAGUGUUGUCCAGCCGAGGGUGGGCACCCUGCGGAUGCAUCGCUAAGACGGUGGAGGUGGCUGGACUUGGGUGUCCGUGAGCAUUGGCGAGUCCCAUUCAGUUUCAUCGGUGAUGCCCGGUCUGCAUGGCGAAGACAGCCUGGGAGAGUAGCGCUGUGUGGUCUGCGGUCACGUGGGAGCUGCCAGCAUAAGCGGCGGAGUUGGCUGGACGCAGGUGUCUGUGAGCAUGGGUGAGUCCCAUUCUGCCUCAUCGGUGAUGCCCAGUCUCCAUGGCGAAGACAGCCCGGGAGAGUAGUGCUGUGUGGUCUGCGGUCACCUGGGAGCUUCCGGCAUAAGCGGUGGAGUUGACUGGACGUGGGCGUCCGUGAGCAUGGGUGAGUCCCAUUCUGCCUCAUCCGCGAUGGCCGGUCUGCAUGGCGAAGAUGGCCGGGGAGAGUAGCGCUGUGUGGUCUGCAGUCACGUGGGAGUUGCCGGCAUAAGCGAAAUGACCAGAACACUGAUUUCCAAAGGUGACGUGUUAUACACAAACAACGAAUCAUGGAACACUACAUCAAAAACUAAUGAUGUACUGGGUGAGAGGAGCAAAAUGGCGGAGGAGUAGGAAACCUGGAUUUCAUCUGUUCCCAGGAAUUCAGCUGGUUAGGGGUCAAACCAUUCUAAACACUUACGAACUCAAAAGGAGAUCGAAGAAAAGAAUAGCAACAACUCUCUGAACAGAAAAGCGACCACUUUCUGGAAGCUCAGUGUAAACUAAAACCUUGGUUUCAUAUGAAUAAAAAAAUUAUCCCUUCCUCUUGAAAUGUGACAAGGAAGAAAAUAUUGGGAAUAAUUCUACCAUCUCAUCCUCAAGAGCCAGUAGGAAUUCUACCAUCAGAAUGACAUGGCAACUCUUUUGAGUGCUUGGCUGGCAGCCUCCACACAUUCAUAGUAACCAGACCCUGGAGAACCAGCAUGUGAGGAGAGAGACCAGUGGUAAAUGGUUAUGCCUACCUUUGAGCCAUUCACACAUUUUUCUUACAUGCCAAAAUCUUUAGAGUGAGGAGCAAUUGACUGAGAUCGACUAGGUAAUCAAGAUUUUAAGUGAUAUUGGAAUUGGAUGAAAUUUCUACCACUGCUCCAAUGAACUACUGAUUUUGUCAUUGUUACCAGUUCUCUUCUAUGGGAAUAAUCAGAACAGUGCACUCCAGAGACAUGAAAUGAAGGAAAGUUUUGGGAAGAAUUCUGCAUCCUAUCCUCAAGGGCCAGUGGGAAUUUUCAUGCUGGAUUUUUGACUUCUCUCUUUGAAUAAUAACAGAAACAUCCUAAUAAAGUAAUAUGAGUUCACUUGAUAUGAAGGUUGGAAGUAAGAUCACAGUUGCAUGGAAUUCUUGCCACUUCACCAAAGAAUACCUGAUUUUGUCACUUUUACCAACUCCCUUACCUGAGAAGAAACAAUGAUGCACUCUCAAGGUAAUGAUGGAUCCUAGAAAGGAAGAGAAACUCUCUAUGCCUUUGCCUUUCUUGAAUGCCAUCUCCAGAGAGUGAAAUGACAAAUUAAUUUUAAGUCGGUGGUUCUCCAUUGCUACUUGUGGUCUUCUGGACCCUUGCAGAAGAUUACUUCUUGGGAACUCUUGGGAGUGAAUGAUACCAGUAAAUCCCUGAAACAAGACUCUUCAGACAAGAAGGCUAUGGUCCAAGGGCUGUGCUUUGAAGGUGGUGACCACAAAUGUGAGGUGGAUUUGUUACUGAGGGUGCCAUUACUUCUACCACCAGCUUCACCAAAACAAUGACACACUCUUCUUUAUGCUUGGCGAUUCCUCUCUUUCCUGUGUUGCAGUGGACACCUCCCGCAGAUAAGAAAUGCUUAACUGAGAAAUGCUCAUGUUGGGAUAUCAUCGAUGAGACUUUAAUUUGGGCAUGGUGACUGUUUCCCUUGCUGCCACUUGACUCAAUCCCAGGAGCCUCAGUAGAGGAUAUAUUAUUGCACAAGAAACUCAAAAUGGUGGAAUUGCUCAGUGCUCCCAUAAAUAUACAUUUAUAAUUUCCAUUUGCCAUAUGGUAAAAAUUUUAAAUAGGAUAUAUUAAAACGAAACUGCACAGUUUUUUUCAAAAAUUCAAAGCGUAUUUAAAUAUCUAAUAUAUAAAUUAAGUGCCCUCCUCUCUCCCAAUUCUCUCCCCCAGUGUUUUCUUCUCUUAAGAGAGUUGUGUGCAUUCUUUAAGUGGAUAGAUGCACACACACAGACACACAUACACACGAACUAUUUUGGGGGGGUUCUGGAAGUGGGGCCAUAUUGUACACAUUCUUCUGCAAAUUGCCUUUCAUUUUACAGUUUUUAAUACCCUUUUCUAUUUCAAUAAUAUACAUCUGUGUCAUUUGUUGAAUGACUGCACGACUGUUUUGUAGAUGAAAUACAAUUAAAUGUUAUAAGCAUUUCUCAUCCAUAGAUAUUUGUUAGCACAAAAUUUCUGUGCAAUGAACCUCCCUAUCAACAAUUUUGCAUUUGUCUAUUAUAUCAUUAUAAAUUACUUAGCAGUUGAAAUACUGGGAUUAAGGAUAUGCACAUUUCAAAUUAUUACAAGAUUUCCUUAAAAUGUGGUAACAACUUUAUCUUCAAAUGGCAAUGAAUGAGAUUGCCAGCUUUCCCACAACUUCACAGAUAAUGGAUUUUAUAAAUAUUUACAUUUUUAGCAAAUGUGAUAGCCCAAACUAUUGUCUUAAAUUGUAUUUCUUUUGCUUUUGAGUUUGAUCAUUUUUUUCAUAUUAGCCAUCUGUAUUCUUUAAUUUCCUCUUUCUGUCCAAUUUCGGGGGUUGGGGCUUAGUCUUCUGAUUUUGAAGAGCUCAUUUAUUAUUGGGGAAAAAAGGUUUGGAUUGUCAAGCUUUACAGAUAUUUUUUAUGCACUUUUAAACUUCAUUUUUGUUAUAAGAAUGUGUAUGAUUGUUAUAUGUCCAAGUAUAACCAUGUUUGCUUUUACGGCUUCUGAGUUUCAUGUCAUUUUGGAAAAAAAUAUUUAUACUGAUUCCAUAAAACCGUCACCUAUGUUAACUUUUA